UACGGAGGGUGCAAGCGUUAUCCGGAUUCACUGGGUUUAAAGGGUGCGUAGGUGGAAUUAUAAGUCAGUGGUGAAAGCCCCGAGCUCAACUCGGGAAUUGCCAUUGAUACUGUUUUUCUUGAGUACGAUUGAGGUGAGUAGAAUAUGUCAUGUAGUGGUGAAACACUUAGAUAUGACAUAGAAUACCGAUUGCGAAGGCAGCUCACUAAAUCGUAACUGACGCUGAGGCACGAAAGCGUGGGGAUCAAACAGG
rnacentral:rRNA from 1 species